UACGUAGGGUGCAAGCGUUGUCCGGAAUUAUUGGGCGUAAAGAGCUCGUAGGCGGUUCGUCGCGUCGGCUGUGAAAUCCCGAGGCUCAACCUCGGGUCUGCAGUCGAUACGGGCGGACUGGAGUUCGGCAGGGGAGACUGGAAUUCCUGGUGUAGCGGUGAAAUGCGCAGAUAUCAGGAGGAACACCGGUGGCGAAGGCGGAUCUCUGGGCCUUACCUGACGCUCGAGGUGCGAAAGCUAGGGGAGCGAACAGG
rnacentral:rRNA from 1 species